UAAAUAACGUUCUCCCCUGUAGGCAUUCACAGGACAACUUACCUCUCACCUUACCGUGUUUCUAGAAGAGCACAGUUCUGAAUUCAGGUGAGUUCUCACUUGCCAGUGCUGCUGAUACAAGUGAACUUGCAAGGAGGAUAAGUCUGCGAAACAGAACUCUGUUUUUCUCUCUUCCUUCCACUUCCUCCUACUGAAAGCACUCCAGGCUUUCCUGAAGAAAUUCAGUACAAAGGUUUUACUUAUUGUAAACUCUCCUGAAGGUGAGUGAUAAAUAUUAUUAGUAAUUUUUUUAAGGUUUCUUUUUUUUUUUCAACGUUUUAUUUAUUUUUGGGACAGAGAGAGACAGAGCAUGAACGGGGGAGGGGCAGAGAAAGAGGGAGACACAGAAUCGGAAACAGGCUCCAGGCUCUGAGCCAUCAGCCCAGAGCCUGACGCGGGGCUCGAACUCACAGACCGCGAGAUCGUGACCUGGCCGAAGUCGGACGCUUAACUCACUGUGCCACCCAGGCGCCCCUAAGGUUUCUUUUUUUUAAUGUUUAUUUUUGAGGGAGAGAGACAGAGAGACAGAGCAUAAGCGGGAGAGGGGCAGAGAGAGUGGGAGAGAGAAUCCAAAGCAGGCUCCAGCUUCUGAGCCAUUCAGUGCAGAGCCCAAUGCCAGGCUCGAACCCACGAACUGUGAAAUCAUGACCUGAGCCAAAGUCAGAGGCUUAACCAACUGAGCCACCCAAUUAAUGCCCAAACAUUAAUUUUUUAUUUACAAAAAUCUGCAUUGAUUUGACUUACCACUUAUUUAAAUUUUUUUUAAUGUUUAUUAUUGAGAGACAGAGAGAGACAGAGUGAGAGUGGGGGAGGGGCAGAGAGAGGAGGAGACACAGAAUCCGAAGGAGGCUCCAGGCUCUGAGCUGUCAGCACAGAGCCCGAUGCAGGGCUCAAACCCACAAACCAUGAGAUCAUGACCCGAGCUGAAGUUGGACGCCCAGCUGACUGAGCCACCCAGGUGCCCCAUGACUUCUCACUUAAAUGCCAAUAGGUGACCAACUCUCCCGUGUGCCCAGGACUGUCCCCAUUUUAGCACUGAAAACCCCAUAUCCUGGGAAUGCCAGUGAUAAAUCAGGUAGACUUGUCAGCUCAAAAAAGUGUUUGGAGAUUUUUUUUUUUUUUUUUGAUGGACACAAGGAAAUGUACUUGUUCAAAAUCAAAAGAGGUUACCUCCUGGGAAACCGAUUCCCUCCGGGAGACCCCACUCCACUCACUAUUAGCAAGUGUGGCUGAUUUGACAAGGAGGAAGUGCAGGUGGGUUGGGGGGGAGGGGGUGGCAGAGAGAGGACUGUUUCAGAUAUGGCUGCCUGACAAGCCUACAAACCCUUGUCUUGGCAUCCUUCCUACAAUGUCCCUCACUUUGAGUCAGGCUCUGGAUCCCCCAACAAACCCCACGGAGCAGUUCUUGCAGCUCCAAGUCACCAUCAAAUCUGCGUGUACGAAGCGCUGUGGGUGUCCUCUCACAAGGGAGCAGCCCAAGCAUGGGGGUUCCUUCAGGACAUGUGGGGUGGCUUCCCCAGCCUCUGUAGAUGUAUGUCCCGUUCCCUCAGACCAAGUGUCUCGUGCCGUUUUUGUGGUAUCUGCACACCUCAUGGAAUUGGCCCACCACAUGCAGAUUGAGUUUCCGGUCACAGAGGAUGCAGUGUGGCCUGUUUCCACACACCCGAGAGAUGAAUGUGAGGGCCCGUCAGGACUGUGGGCAUUUGGAUUCCUGAGGCCACAGUGCUCCUCCCACAGGUUGGGGUCUCUCGUGAGAUUGCUGGACUGCUGUCAUCUGAAGGCUUGACUGGGGCUGGGAGGGUCUGCUUCCAAGAUGGCUCAUCACAUGGCUGUUGGCUGGAGGCCUCAGUUUCUCACCAUGAGGACCUCUCUGUAAGGUUACUUGAGUGCCUCCCUGACAUGACAGCUUCCCCUGUGAUGAAUGACCCAAGAGAAAGAAAGCAAGAAGGCAGCCACAGUGCUGUUUAAGACCCAGUCAUGCACUAUCAUUUCCUCCAUAUUCUAAGUCCGCCAAGCCACUAAGUCCAGCCCGCGCUCCAGGGGAGGGGAAUCAGGGAGGAAAAAGAAUCAAAGGAUUUGGGGACAUAUUUUCAAACCACAGUUUCCCAAGGCAUCAUGUGGCUGGACCAGGAAUGAAUCUCCACGAAGGCUGGUACUGAUAGUAACACAGUAGGAAGAACAUGGGCUUUGAGUCAAAUCUGAGUUGGAAACCAGGCUUUGAUCCUUUCCAUUUUCUGGGAUCUGGGGCAAAACAGUCAUCUCUAAACUUUAGUUUCUUUAUCUGCAAAAUGAAAAUUAGAAUUGUAAUUCUUCCAUGGAGUUUUUUUAUAAUUUAAACGAGAUGACCCAUGCAGGGACAGACUCCAACUGUAUGGGGCCUGACACCUUUCCAACUUGACAGGGCCCUCUUGAAGAAAGGAGAAUGCAAAAUUACAAGUGUAAAUAAUGCACAAAAUGAACAUUUAUUUAGAAUUAAAAAUGACAAAAAUGGAGUGCCUGGCUGGCUCAGUUGAUAGAACAUGUGACUCUCGAUCUCAAGGUCAUGAGUCUAAGCCCCAUGUUGGGCAUGGAGCCUACUUAAAAUGAAAUUUAAAAUAAUUAAGAAAUGACCCCCCCCAAAACCCCACAUGUUAAAGGUGAAUACCACAAAUGUCACAAAAUUCAGAAAAAUGACAAUUAAAAAAAUCACCUAGGCAUGCCUCUUUAAAAUACUGUCUUCCCCGCAUUUUUACUGCAUACUUUUUGGUCACUUGUCAACAUGACAAAGAUUUUGCAAUAUUUUCCAUAGGCAGGGGCGCCUGGCUGGCUCUGUUGGUACAGUAUGUGAUUCUUGAUCUCGGGGUCGUGAGUUUGAACCCCACAUGGGGUGUAGAGAUUACUUAAAAAUAAAAUCUUUAGAAAUCUAUGUUUUCCAUGGUCAGAAGAUAAUUUGGCCUUUCUUUAGCAUGGUUGAUUAAAAUUUGGUUUUUAUUAUUGAGAGCUUAUAUUCAGCUCUACAACUUAUUGUGGAUAAUGUCAGGCAUUUUUUUUAGGGCUGUUGUCAAAUUUGGUAAGCCUCUGAAUAUGUAUUUUUUAAAUAUAUGAGCUCAGGGCUUCAAGUAAGUGUUCCUGUGUAGUAAAUUGAUGGCACCCUUUACGCAGGGCGGUUGAGGGGGUCUGCAUAAGAGAGGGGCUGGAAGCUUCAGUUUGCCUGACAGUCUUCCCCUGGAAGCAGGUAUGUGUGGAGCAUGGGGCUGGCAUGUAUCAGGUGCUCUGGAAAUGGGAGAAGCCUGGAGAGUCCUUGUCUUCCUGCUCCACUGCCUCAGGCAAAACCAGAGACUUCCUGUCCUUGAUUCUAACUUCUUUCUUCUCCAGUAGCUUCUCCAGUGCCCUUAGAAGGCGGGAACAGAAAUACACCCCUUGGGUGGGAAGAAUACUGGGCUCAGAAUGAAAAGAUCUGGGUUUGAGACCUGUCUUUGUCACUCAACUGUGGGACUUUGACAAAUUACCCAGCCUCGCUGUGUGUCAGUUUCUUGGUCUCUGAGAUGGGCAUAGUUACACCAGCCUCAUGGGUUGUUGCCUGUGAACAGUAGAAUACCAGUACAAGGGCCUUGUGGAUUACAGAGCAAUUUUACUAAUGUAAAAUGUUUUUAUUUUGGUGCCUAGAAGUUACCAAGGAAUCGGUUUGGACACUAUCCAGUGUUUAUGGGCAUCUUAAAUUCUUUGUUCUCUGUGGCCUAAAUGAAUUGGAAAUUCAAACUGGACUUCAAUCAAAUUUGGCAUAAAGACCAGGACAGCAAACUUGUCCACUCUUUCCACAAAAAGGUACUGGGUUCUAGCUAUUGCCAUAUUUGUGCUAGAGACGGGGAUUCCAGGAUAGACAAGACACAGUCCUGGCACUUCAGGUAUGGAGCACAGGUAAAUGAAACCCCAGACGGACAUCUGGAGGAAGGGCUCAGCCUUCAAGCCUGUUAAGUUCAAAACCUUGGCCUCCCUGUGCCUCAGUGUCUCCUUUUGCCAAGAGGCGUUGCUAACUGCUAGAGAGGGGUGUGGACACAAAUGAGGGUCUGCACAUCUCGGAGAACGUCUGGGCAGAGUCAUCAGAGGGUUGCACAGAGCCCCGCUGAGACUGGUUGUUCUUGGGGAAUUUUCAGGAAGCUUUGAAGUGCCACCAGGACGAGGGAGGCUGCCCCAUCCUGGAGGUACAUUCACUUGUAAUUUACUCCCCCACGUGGGCUCUGGAGCUCCAGUCUCAUAAAUACAUCGCUUGCUCAAUCCUGCCGUGGAAGACGGACAGAGGGAGGGGGCUGGAGGGGAGGAAUCACUAAAUUAAGAAGGUCCCUGGGAGUGACUGGCCUACAGACACAACUGAGUCCCCUAAGUUUCUCUCCUUCAAACAUAAAUAUUUCCAACUAAGAUCACAGACUCCCUCCUCAUAAAAUCAAUGAAACCACAAGGGAAAAUGACCUCCCGCUUGACUGCACCAGAGAUAUCUCAAACGGAGUCACUUCCCCUCCCGCAGAAGCAACCGCUGCUGGGGUUCAAGGAUCUGAAACCCAGGCACUGCCACCGAGAAUCUGAGGCUAAGAAGAAGUCAGGUGGGUUGGGUACGUGUCCGUCUCAUUUGACUUGCUGUGUUUCGGUGACGGCUUCUGCGCGACCCUGCUGCAGCAUGAGACUUUUUUCCUGGAACCAGACCUGGGUUCAAGGUGCAGCUCCUCUAAUUACUGGCUGGGCGUUUUUGGGCAAAGUAGAAUCUCUCCAGCGCAGUCUCCUCAUCUAGUACAAGGUGGAUGAUAGAUAGAUAAUGUACAGUCUGGUCUGCCUGCCCUGCAGGGGAGGUGACGAGAUCAAGAGAACUGUCCGUGCAAAUGCUUUGUAAACCAUAAAGCCCUUGAUAAAUAACAGCUCUUGUUAUUAAAAGAUAAAAGCACCAAUCCUGCUAGUUAGUGUACUUGUUAGAACCCCUUACACUAUAAGUGACAGAACUCCUAACUUAAACUGGCUAAAACCGCAAUUGACUUAUGUAAUUGAAAAGGAUGGAUUCAAGUGAGGAUGAGGUUCGACAUCACCAAGGACCAGCUCCUCCCCAGCCCCCACAGUGACUGCACAUGUCACAUCUUGACAAGAUGCCAUCCAGAGGAGGGGAGUUCCUUUCCCCCAAUUUCCAUUAAAGAGAGAUGGAGGGGGAGGAGUGAGGGACUCUUUUUUUUUUCCAGAGUUAGCCAAUUUCACUGGCUUUCUUUCCACAGCCAGGGGAUCAGAUAUGUUGAUUGGCUGAAGAGAAUCAAGGACCAUCCCUAGAUCUGGAAGCAGGAUCAUGAUGCCAACCAAACCACAUUUGGAGGUGUUACUUUAUCAGAAGAGUGAAAAAAUGCCAAGUUGCACAAACACCCAACCAGUACAGUCCACCCCCUUUAACUGCCCAAUAUCCACACCCACCUGCAUCCCCAUAAAUACACCUCAAAAAAUCCCCACUCCCUCUAUGAACUCUUUUUCCAAAAGAGACAAGCCAUGAUUUCAUGUAGUCUGGUUCUCUAGGUGACUCAUGGUCCUCGUGGAGGGAGCUGCUAUGGUCCUAUGUGGUCCAGUGAGGCUCAGUGGUAAAUUUAAUCACCACUGAUGCAUUUAGUAAACAGCAAUGGAGAACAGGGUAAUUGCACUAAAAACUCUCAUUUGGAAAAGGAAAGGACAGGAUACAACUGUCAAUGGUCACCCUGUCAUAUUCUGCCAGAAAUCACAUGGAUGUCCUUCCUCGAAACAAGUACCCGUCCUCCCUAGUGCUGUCCUCUGGAAGGCUCCCCUUUGCCCUUUGCCCUCUAUGGCCCCUGCUGUCUCUUUGGGGAAAUCCCUCCUGUGUUAACCUUCACAGACCACGAGAC
rnacentral:lncRNA from 1 species